rnacentral:rRNA from 1 species
AGUGAACGCUGGCGGUAGGCCUAACACAUGCAAGUCGAACGGCAGCACAGUAAGAGCUUGCUCUUACGGGUUGCGAGUGGCGGACGGGUGAGGAAUACAUCGGAAUCUACUUUUUCGUGGGGGAUAACGUAGGUAAACUUACGCUAAUACCGCAUACGACCUACGGGUGAAAGCAGGGGAUCUUCGGACCUUGCGCGAUUGAAUGAGCCGAUGUCGGAUUAGCUAGUUGGCGGGGUAAAGGCCCACCAAGGCGACGAUCCGUAGCUGGUCUGAGAGGAUGAUCAGCCACACUGGAACUGAGACACGGUCCAGACUACUACGGGAGGCAGCAGUGGGGAAUAUGGGACAAUGGGCGCAAGCCUGAUCCAGCCAUACCGCGUGGGUGAAGAAGGCCUUCGGGUUGUAAAGCCCUUUUGUUGGGAAAGAAAAGCAGCAGGUUAAUACCCCGCUGUUCUGACGGUACCCAAAGAAUAAGCACCGGCUAACUUCGUG